UCUAAUGUAAAUUUCGCAGAAUCAGUUGGAUAAAAAACACACGAUCAACGAAUUAAAUAUCAAACGAUCCAUAAAACCGUAAAAAGACCGGUAUAAAAAUAUUGAUGACAUCUCGCGCAAAUUGUUUCAAGUACAACGCCUUUUUUAUAAAACGAUCCGGUGAAGCCAUUAUACACCUCUGUCAGCUGAACGCAUCCCUGUCACACUUUCCAUUUUGUCACGGUCACCUAUCUAACGCCCUGUUACGAUUCCUCGAUUAACGAUAAUUGUGCCGUUACAGUGUUUCAGUGGCUCAAAGCCACUGUGCACGCGUUCUGCCUCCCCACGCUCCAUCUCUGUUCCACUCUUGACUUUAUCGUUCACCAGAAGCACGCGGCCCAGGCGUUGAUUACUGGGCGGCACAGCGACGUCGGCUAAUAGCCCCACUAACUACCCAGAGCCCUGAUUGUUAGGUUACGAUCACGGUCUUUGAAACUCGCCCCACGCAUAAUAACUACCAGCUAGCGACGGGGAUGAACCGCCGUCGUUCUUCUUCCAUCCCUGAGUAACACGAAAGUGCUUGCAAGCGGUUCGAGAGCCUUCACUGGCCAUCGAGAGUUUGUAUCCAGGCGAACAACCGUUUAAACUCCGCUUGGAUAUCACUGACCUGCCCCCAUAUCGUAGCGACGUCACCUCGACAAACUGUUGGCCCACAUGUACCGCCGGCCAGUUACAGGGUUCGUUCUCGCCCUUUCAUCUACGUUGGUUAUCGACGUUUUACGCGGGUAUUUCCUCCGUUUAUUUCGCGCCCUUGCCACCGUUCCAACGAUGGUCAACGCUUGUUUCGCUACGAAUCGCUUGUUCUUUGCGAGGGAACGACCAUCGCUUUUAUCGUCGAACGUGAAACGACUCUUCCACUCGGCCUUGCCUCUCGCGUGGACGCGAGCGAAUCGACGAGAUUCCGCGAAUUUAUAUCGUACACUUGACGUUUGAUCCACGAACAAAAGACGAGAAGAGAAGAGAAGAGAAUGGAAUUUUAAUAUCAAUAUUUGCAAGGGGCCGUGUUGUUGUUCGAGAUAUGUUGAUGCGUGACCAAAUAAUUGCGGAUGGAAUGGAACUAAAAUAUUUGGGACGUUUAAACGUGAUUGUUGAAACGUUUGUUUAUCGUAUAUUGGCGAACGAAUGAAAAUUCAAAUGCUUUCAAUCGUGUGUUUGAAAAUUCUCCUUUUAACGUGUUCGUUUAAAUUUAAUCGUUUUGUUAUUUCUUUUUUUUUAACAAUGCACCACAUGCACCGUGUUACUUUGUGUUACUUGUUUAACGUUUAUAAUAUAAUAAGCUUGUAAAAUUUCAGAAUUUACUCGUUCGAAGUGUUUAAAGUCGAGUGAAAUAUCAGUUAUAAUAAUAGUUGUGAGCUUGAUACAUUAAUUCUACAUUAUCUCAAAUACUUAAAUUAAUAAUAAUUAUUAAUUUAGAGUAUCACUUACUGGAAAACUUUAGAAAACUUUAGAUAUUAACAAAAAAACUUAUCGUUGUAAGAAGAAAGAACCAUUAAUCUUGUCAUCAAAAAUUUAAUGAAAUCAGGAAAUGAAUAGGAAAAUUUACAAUUUAUCAACUUUAUAAACUUUCUUUUUUUCAUAAUGAAUAAACUACAAUCGCUUUCUGAAAUCCUCGUAUCGCAGAACAACCGUUUCGAAAAUGUUAAGACGUUGAAACGCGUUUUAAGAUAUUCCACAAAUAAAGUUUACACGAAAACAACGUAUCCGAGUGGAGAAAUUCGAGAGAAAGUUGGCGAAGAAACGGAGACGAUCGACAUUUCGGGGAACAAUGAAGGAUAUAGAACGGAAGGGGGAGAGAGAGAAAGAGAGAAAGAGGUAAAUGCCCCGGAAGCUCGUACGUCGCAGAAUCCGACGGGAGUUUCCGCGAAUCCUUUAUUUCUCGGAAGUUUAUGAUUCAAGUUACGUGGGGGGAGGGAAGAAGAAUGACUGGCGAAGUUAUAUGGUCGAAACCACGGGCGUCGGGAAAGGGGACAAGUUCAAGUGGCAAGGUCAAGUUCCUCGCCACCCACGGGGAAGAUUUAUAGUUUCCAUGCGGCGUCACACAAUGACCCAGUUUAAAAAAAAAUAAAAGAGAGAGAGAGAGAGAGAGGAGAAAAAAGAACAUAUCCCUCCACGACUGUGUCGAACAGCGUGGCUCGUGGAUCCAACGAUUUAUUUCUGGUCGCGUGCGUUUCGAAUGCGAUGGAUUGCCUUCAGGAUUUCUCGUUUUACGACCAGCUCGCGAAUUUGCAAACUCUUGUAUGCGUGCACGGAAAUUUGUAUUAUACCGAUUUUUGAUGGAUAAAUUUUUGGAAAUGGUUUUUAAUCGAAACGUAAAUGUUAAGAUCGUUUUAAAAUUUAAGUCGAUAAUAAUAAAUUGGUUGGUCCUUUUUUAAUAUUAAAAUAUUAAUUACGAUUAAAAUAUUUUUAAAGUAUCGUUUGGACGUGUAAAAGGGAUGCGCGUGAUUAAAGUUGAAACGAGAGAUUUUUUUUAAUGAAGACGAGAAAUCGUUUUCAAUGAAAGCGAAAUUGUUAAUGCACGUUAUUUUUCAUUCAUUGAAGCUAGAAAUGAUUUUUCAAAUACUACAACUCGACCACCUGUUACGUAUGAAUAAAAAUCAAUGAAGUAAUUUUAUUUUAUUUUUAAAUGAUAAUUUUGUAACAAUUUAUUCCUACGUAAUAAUACAUUUUAAUUAAAACGAACGGGGAAUAAUAUUGACAAUCAAGUUUAAACUACCGAAAAUAUAAUUUUUAACGUAUUUAAUGAAAAUGAAAUUAAAUCCGUAUCGUAUGAUCUGAUCUUUGUCACGAUUAAAACACAAAAUAUCAAAACGAAAACGAAAUAAUCGAUAUAUAUAUAUAUCUUAAGAAAAUAAUCUUAAACGAUUUAAAUCCUUAUUACAUAUGAUUCAUUUCGUAUUAUCUUCAACUCGUCCUUCGUCAUCGACCAAACAACGCAACAAACGUUACAAAUCGUCCAAUAAAAUAUAUCUCACCACGCGUGCAGCUACUCUCCUCGCGAGAGAUAGAACGAAACAUCAAUAUCCGACCAUUAUCCCCGAAACUCUCAUAAGAUAUCCGUGCGCUCGAGAUCGAAUCUCCGCCUCCUCCCCCAAGGGACACGAUAUAUCCCUCGCAGACGCAUAGAAAGUGGGCGGAAGUGUCGCGAACGUGCGAUUGCAGAUCCUGAAGGACCUGUUGCUCGAACCGGUGCGGAGAGAACGUGCUCGCCUCGCAGUUAGAAACAAAUGGCCUGGUGCACAACAGGGAACGCCAUAAAGCCGCGUGGGCGGGGGUCGAGGUGGAAAGGAGAUCGGGAAGGUCAAAGGGAAGAGAAAAUGGGCGGGGGUGGAAUCGCAGGGGUCGUGGACGCGGAGUAUAUCUACCCCUUUGUUAAUUCGGGCUUAAUGCUGGCCCGGAGGGGGCUCGAAGGAAGGAAAGGCGUGUUUUGUCGGCAGACAAUGGGGUCACUAGGAUGUUCCGUGCCAAGUUUUCAUAGCCGGACAAGUUUAGACCGACGGUGUACCGCAACCGCGGCCUUCAACUCGUGCUCCUUAUUCGACUGGACGUGCACGAGGAAAGAGAGAAAAGAGAAGAGAGAGAGAGGGAGUAAAGUAAGGGAACAAGAUAGCCGGAACGAGAUCGAGCAGAUAGGAUUGUAAGACUUCGAACGCACACCUUGAUAUCCGCGAGAAGUGGUAGUGCUUUAGCAGAAACCCGCUCGUACAUUAUGGAUGCGGCAUCGAGCGUGUUUUACGUAAUCGGCGCGUGCCACCUGUGCACGCGGUUAAUCCCGCAUAGAAUGCGGACGUAAUCGUAUAUGCGUGGAAAAAGGAAGGUCGAAAAGAAGUGUGACGGUAUCUUUUAAACGGAUAAAACGACGUUUCGUAAUGUUUACGCGUGAUCAAAGCGUUCUUGACCCAAGGCCAUUAAAUUUCUUUGGAAAUCUUGAGAAAUCGAGAUAGGUAACCGCGUUUGAACUCAUCUGACUCAUCGUCGGGGAUCGAACAAUGAAACGAUCCGACGAAUAUUUUGACGACAUUCGAGAGUAUUUUUAUAUCCUGGCUCCUUUUCUAGAUCUUGAGAUUUUGAUUUUUUUCAAAUAAUACACACCUGCGUUAUUUUUACGCGUUUGCACAAUUUAAAAAAUAUACACGUAACAAAUGGAAUCAAAUAUAUGAUUCCAACAAAAGAAUAAUCAAUCCCUGUGACGUACUCUCGCGAGACAGGAUAAUAUCCUCGAGAAGUAAAUGUAUUCAACCCUAGGUCGGAAUCCUAUGAAUCAAACUGUGAAUAUCAAACAACGCGGACUCGUUUUCACUCGAAAGCCGGAAUCGUCGGAACUCGCGUCACGGACGAUUCGCACGUAUGUAUUGACUAGGAAAUCCGACGUAGCACGAGGAGGAGUAGUCGGAGGCGAGGGAUGAGAGCCAGUAAACCGGGACUCGACCUCGCUCCGCAUCUAUCCCGCAUACAUCGAACCGAAUGGUGCAUGGCUGUGCAUGCACCGGGUGCAAUAUACAUCGAGCAAGAGAACACACUAGAACCGGGGAGGGAGGGAGAAAGAGAGAGAGGAAACGAUAACGUAGAAGGAAGAGGAGGGUUGGGGGGGCGGAGGAGCAGGAGGAGGCCCUCCAACCCCGUUUUCACUUUCAUUCGCUCGCUAGCUCGCGUGGCACAUAUUCACAUAUUCAUCUCUACACCCUUCCUUCAUCCCCUUGGUGGAUAUACACGGAUAUGUUCGCGUCACGGGGGCAGUGUGCGCUGGUAUACGUGUGUACGUGUGAAACGCACACCGAGGAGCAACGUGACGGUAUUUCACGUGGAUGCAAGAGGCUCAGCUGUGCCGUGACGUAUGAUCCCCGACGUUGGCCCUAGCGAAACUUAUUCGGCCACGUGCUUUCGAAACUUCGGCCGCGCGCACCAUGUGCGUACGACCUCAGGCCCGGUUCCCACGCGAUCCCGCUCUGUCUCUCUCUCUCUCUCUCUCUCCCCCGUCACGAAAUCGGGAUAUACCGUUGACCUUGGGGUUAUUCCUGGCCCACGAUUUACGAUUUGCCAGACUACUGCUCGAGCUUGAAAUAGAUUGCAGGAUAACGGUUUCUGACGAUUCUGAAGGGGGAUUGAUUUGAAUUUGUGCGUAUGUAACGUAGAGCAGUAUUAAGUGGAAAAUGAAAUACAAAGUAUCGAGUUCAAAUUUAAUAUAUAUUUAAAUUGAAUCAAAGGAUAUGUUUUAUAUCCGCAAAAUAUUUGCGAAUUUCGAAAGCCUACUGUGCACUUUGGCUUUUUUUUAAAUGUAUAGUUGCUAUGAAGUAUUGCACGAAGAUCGAGUUCGUAAAUAGUAUUGAUUGUGUAUACAUAGAUAUAUCAUGGGCGUUUUUAUGAUAAGUUGUUAAACUAGUAUUAAAAUAGUAUCAAGUAAUGAUAUUGCUUUGAAUAAAUAGAUAUGCAUU